UGCCAUCCCGUUGGUUCAUUCCCAGCGUUCCUCUACAAGCUUCUCAUCCUCCUCCGUCUUCUUCUCCGAUUCUCUCUCUCGAUCUGUCUUCCAUUCUAUCCAGCGUCAAAAUUUUACUUCUGCCUUCCGCCAUACCUCCGUACGUAUUUUCGCAUGGUUUUCCCCAUGUAACUCAAAGAGCAACACACACUGAAGACCUCUGAAACGAAGAAAUUAACCUACGGAGAUCUCGUUGAAUACUUGAAUUGGAUAGCACAUCCUUCGGUUUCUGACGGCGAUCUUGCGCACCGGUCGCCCGCCUGCACGGCGCCGGAUCAUUGCUCAUCGCCGACUGCCUUCACGCUCAACUGAUUUGACAGUUAGUUACGCAUUUUUUACACAAUUAUUUCAGUGCUUCAAAAAGAUGUUAAUUACUGUUAAAUGCGUUUAACAUUUUUUUUCCAGUAAUUUUCUGGUAUUCUGUGUUUGUUUGAAAAAAUAAUAGAUUGAUAUGUCAUCCCAUGGGUGAGUUUCGUUUAUUUUUUAA